UGGGGAAUAUUGCACAAUGGAGGGAACUCUGAUGCAGCGACGCCGCGUGAACGAAGAAGGCUUUCGAGUCGUAAAGUUCUUUUAUAUGGGAAGAUAAUGACGGUACCAUAAGAAAAAGCCCCGGCUAACUACGUGCCAGCAGCCGCGGUAAUACGUAGGGGGCUAGCGUUGUCCGGAAUCACUGGGCGUAAAGGGUUCGCAGGCGGAAAUGCAAGUCAGGUGUAAAAGGCAGUAGCUUAACUACUGUAAGCAUUUGAAACUGCAUAUCUUGAGAAGAGUAGAGGUAAGUGGAAUUUUUAGUGUAGCGGUGAAAUGCGUAGAUAUUAAAAAGAAUACCGGUGGCGAAGGCGACUUACUGGGCUCAUUCUGACGCUGAUGAACGAAAGCGUGGGUAGCAAACAGG
rnacentral:rRNA from 1 species